rnacentral:rRNA from 1 species
AGUGAACGCUGGCGGUAGGCCUAACACAUGCAAGUCGAACGGCAGCACAGGAGAGCUUGCUCUCUGGGUGGCGAGUGGCGGACGGGUGAGGAAUACAUCGGAAUCUACUCUGUCGUGGGGGAUAACGUAGGGAAACUUACGCUAAUACCGCAUACGACCUACGGGUGAAAGCAGGGGACCUUCGGGCCUUGCGCGAUUGAAUGAGCCGAUGUCGGAUUAGCUAGUUGGCGGGGUAAAGGCCCACCAAGGCGACGAUCCGUAGCUGGUCUGAGAGGAUGAUCGGCCACACUGGAACUGGAACACGGUCCAGACUCCUACGGGAGGCAGCAGUGGGGAAUAUUGGACAAUGGGCGCAAGCCCGAUCCAGCCAUACCGCGUGGGUGAAGAAGGCCUUCGGGUUGUAAAGCCCUUUUGUUGGGAAAGAAAUCCAGCUGGCUAAUACCCGGUUGGGAUGACGGUACCCAAAGAAUAAGCACCGGCUAACUUCGUGCCAGCCGCCGCCGUAA